rnacentral:rRNA from 1 species
AUACGUAGGGGGCGAGCGUUGUCCGGAAUGAUUGGGCGUAAAGGGCACGUAGGCGGCCCGGUAAGUCUGGAGUGAAAGUCCUGUUUUUAAGAUGGGAAUUGCUUUGGAUACUGUCGGGCUUGAGUGCAGGAGAGGUAAGUGGAAUUCCCAGUGUAGCGGUGAAAUGCGUAGAGAUUGGGAGGAACACCAGUGGCGAAGGCGACUUACUGGACUGUAACUGACGCUGAGGCGCGAAAGUGUGGGGAGCAAACAGGAUUAGAUACCCUGGUAGUCCACACUGUAAACGAUGAAUGCUAGGUGUAGGGGGUAUCGACCCCUUCUGUGCCGCAGUCAACACAAUAAGCAUUCCGCCUGGGGAGUACGGCCGCAAGGUUGAAACUCAAAUGAAUUGACGGGG